rnacentral:lncRNA from 1 species
UAUAAUUGUUUAUGUUUUCGAUCCCCUAGUUUUUUAAACGAAGCAGUUUAAGAGCUACUCGGACAGCAUAUUUUUGUUAUUCAAGAAGUUACCAGACGGCUUUGCUUAAGGAAAUCGGUGAAAUUUUGACCACCGCAAUGUUUGUUUGCUUCAGGAUGUCAUUUUGGAGAUAACUAAACUUGGGAUGAUGCUUAAUACUGAACCGUUUCAUGAUUUCUUUUCACUGCGGAAGUAUUGCAGAAUCUCAAUCAUUAGAAAAAGGAAUGUGCGUCUUGAUUUGGAGCAAUGAAACCCCUGAUCAGUUUAAUUAAAUAUUCUGAACUAAAAUAGAGCGAAAAAAAUUAAUUAUUUGCACUAAUAGUUUGGUGGUGGUUCAUCCACAGGUUAGCUAUGUGUCCUCUGUUUUCAGGUCGCAUUUGAAUCUGUAGGAAAGAAAAUCAGAGGAAAGCCAUGGUUCAUUAGAUUGGACAGGAAAAUACUGAACCUGCAUGACUCCAAAGGGAUGAGUGUCAGAUUAGAACUAUUUCGAUGUCUCGGGCCGUCGGAGUAAUAACUCGUGGAAUUCGUGUCAAGGCUGGGUUUAUCGAAGUUUGGAGCUGCUAGAUGAUACAUUUCAAGAUUCGUUUCGACCCGAGAUACAAAGUUUAACACUGUUUUGGGACAACAGGUGGGAAGUUGUUGCCAUUCACGGUGAUUUUGUGAAAACCUCUACAGCUGGAAUCUUCUUCGUCGCAUCGCCAAGAAAGGUCAUGUUCGUAACAGCCCCGAUGCCAACAGCAAUCGCCACAAAACCAACUCCAGCACCAACAUCCUUUACCGCACAUCCCGCGGC